rnacentral:tRNA from 1 species
UUAUAGCUCAGUUGGUAGAGUGCUUGCUUAGCAUGCACAAAGCCCUAGGUUCAAUCCCCAGUCAAA